ACCCGUCUAGCUCAGUCGGUAGAGCGCUGGCCUUUUAAGCCAGUGGUCGUGCGUUCGAUGCCCACGGGUG
rnacentral:tRNA from 1 species